rnacentral:tRNA from 1 species
GAAAUAUAAAUAAACUAAGCUUCUAACUUAAGUUUUUAGCGAUCAAGCUCGUUAGUAUUUCU